rnacentral:lncRNA from 1 species
GAAUCAAGACAACUCACCAGAAAAAGGACUGAGAACUCCUUCUGGAUGAAGACACUUCCUAGGUGCAAGAGAGUUGAGUAAGGCUAAAGCUCUAUAACCAUUGAAAGCUGGCUGGGGGAAAAGAAGAAGAGGCAAAAAGAUCAACUGAAGAAUAAACUGCUGUCAUUGGCACAAAAGAAUACCACAAAGAUUAUUUACAAAACUCGAAUCAGGAGUAGAACAGACCUCCAUGUGGAAGUUCAAUUGUGC